rnacentral:misc_RNA from 1 species
GAAAUGCGAUACUUGGUGUGAAUUGCAGAAUUCAGUGAAUCAUCGAAUCUUUGAACGCACAUUGCGCCCCUUGGUAUUCCAUGGGGCAUGCCUGUUCGAGCGUCAUCUACACCCUCAAGCUCUGCUUGGUGAUGGGCGUCUGUCCCGCCUCUGCGCGCGGACUCGCCCCAAAGUCAUUGGCAGCGGUCCUGUCCGCCUCUCGCGCAGCACUAGUGCGCUUCUCGAGGCUUCGGGGUCCGCGUCCAUUCAAGCCCAAUUACCAUUUUUGACCUCGGAUCAGGUAGGGAUACCCGCUGAACUUAA